UACGAAGGUGGCGAAUGUUGCUCGGAUUCACUGGGCGUAAAGCGUCGGUAGGAGGCUUGUUAAGUUAGGUGUGAAAGCCCCGCGCUCAACGUGGGAAUUGCACUUAAAACUAACUGGCUUGAAGGUAUGAGAGGAAGGCGGAAUAACUGGUGUAGAGGUAAAAUUCAUAGAUAUCAGUUGGAACACCCAUGGCGAAGGCAGCUUUCUGGCAUAUUCUUGACUCUGAGCGACGACAGCGUGGGGAGCAGACAGG
rnacentral:rRNA from 1 species